GUGCGGUUGGCAAAAACAACGUUUUUUUGAACAUCGGUUCUGUCAACCUCCCCGAAGGGGUGAAUAAGCGAACUAAUGCGCUUAUGAAUAAUCUUUAA
rnacentral:ncRNA from 1 species